rnacentral:rRNA from 1 species
ACGAACGCUGGCGGCAGGCCUAACCCCUGCAAGUCGAGCGCGGACUUCGGUUCUAGCGGCGGACGGGUGAGUAACACGUGGGAAUGUGCCCUUCUCUACGGAAUAGCCCUGGGAAACUGGGAGUAAUACCGUAUACGCCCUUUUGGGGAAAGAUUUAUCGGAGAAGGAUCAGCCCGCGUUGGAUUAGGUAGUUGGUGGGGUAAUGGCCUACCAAGCCGACGAUCCAUAGCUGGUUUGAGAGGAUGAUCAGCCACACUGGGACUGAGACACGGCCCAGACUCCUACGGGAGGCAGCAGUGGGGAAUCUUAGACAAUGGGGGCAACGCUGAUCUAGCCAUGCCGCGUGAGUGAUGAAGGCCUUAGGGUUGUAAAGCUCUUUCAGCUGGGAAGAUAAUGACGGUACCAGCAGAAGAAGCCCCGGCUAACUCCGUG